AGCGACCCCAGGUCAGGCGGGGCUACCCGCUGAGUUUAAGCAUAUCAAUAAGCGG
rnacentral:rRNA from 1 species